GCUCUUGAAGAGGAAGAACUAGUUGAAUACAUCCUGACAGGAAUAGUUGACAUGGAAUUUAACCCUGUUGUCUCGGCGGUCUUGGCUCGUGCUAAAUCAAUCUUGGUCAAUGAACUAUUUGUUCAGCUUCAAAGUUUUGAGC
rnacentral:snoRNA from 1 species